GACGAACGCUGGCGGCGUGCUUAACACAUGCAAGUCGAGGGCACUAUUGGGGGCAACUUGGUAGUGACCGGCGAACGGGUGCGUAACACGUGAGCGACCUUGCCUCGUGGUGGGGGAUAGCCGGCCCAACGGCCGGGUAAUACCGCAUAUGGUAGUUUCUUCGCAUGGGGAGACUAGCAAAGCCUUGGAGCAAUCCAAUGGCGCCACAGGGGGGGCUCGCGGCCUAUCAGCUAGNGGGGGGGUAAUGGCCCACCAAGGCGACGACGGGUAGCUGGUCUGAGAGGAUGGCCAGCCACAUUGGGACUGAGAGACGGCCCAGACUCCUACGGGAGGCAGCAGUGGGGAAUCUUGCGCAAUGGCCGAAAGGCUGACGCAGCGACGCCGCGUGGGGGAGGAAGGCC
rnacentral:rRNA from 1 species